rnacentral:rRNA from 1 species
AGAGUUUGAUCAUGGCUCAGAACGAACGCUGGCGGCAGGCUUAACACAUGCAAGUCGAACGCACCGCAAGGUGAGUGGCAGACGGGUGAGUAACGCGUGGGAACGUGCCCUUCAGUUCGGGAUAACCCAGGGAAACUUGGGCUAAUACCGGAUACGUGCGAGAGCAGAAAGAUUCAUCGCUGAAGGAUCGGCCCGCGUCUGAUUAGCUAGUUGGUAGGGUAAUGGCCUACCAAGGCGACGAUCAGUAGCUGGUCUGAGAGGAUGAUCAGCCACAUUGGGACUGAGACACGGCCCAAACUCCUACGGGAGGCAGCAGUGGGGAAUAUUGGACAAUGGGCGCAAGCCUGAUCCAGCCAUGCCGCGUGAGUGAUGAAGGCCUUAGGGUUGUAAAGCUCUUUCGUCCGGGACGAUAAUGACGGUACCGGAAGAAGAAGCCCCGGCUAACUUCGUGCCAGCAGCCGCGGUAAUACGAAGGGGGCUAGCGUUGUUCGGAAUCACUGGGCGUAAAGGGCGCGUAGGCGGCCUGAUAAGUCGGGGGUGAAAGCCUGUGGCUCAACCACAGAAUUGCCUUCGAUACUGUCGGGCUUGAGACCGGAAGAGGUAAGUGGAACUGCGAGUGUAGAGGUGAAAUUCGUAGAUAUUCGCAAGAACACCAGUGGCGAA